AUGGGACGUGAUCGUGACUUCAGUGAGGAAGUGAAGCUCAAAUGCUGGGAUAAGGCAGAUUUAAUCAUGGGGCGCGAUCCAGCAAGGUGGCGCUAUGACAGGAUCGGCACCCCUGUGAUGAAGGACUUCCAUGGCAAGAAUGGUUUAUGUGGUUGGCAGUAUGACCACGAUACGCCAGUCUCAAGGGGAGGCACGUCGGAGCUGAGCAAUUGCCAAGUCAUGCAGACUAUGGCCAACAAAAGCAAGUCCAGCCGGGUUCAUUUACCUGAUAGGCUUGCUCAAUCAGCCUCCAACAUCCAGCUGAACCAGGAGCAACGAGACAUGAUCGAGAUGGCCUACUAUGGCAACGUCCAUGAUGAAACCGGCACACCAAUAUGCAGAUGCAUUACCAAGCAUCAGGAAGCUGUGGGUUCAAUCAGAGAUCACAUCCCGGCGUGCGAGGUUAAGGAACCAAUGUGCCCGCCUUGUCCCAAAGAAAAGACACGGAGCCAAAUUUGCUGUGGAGACAAGCAAGAGAAUUUCAGGAGAACAGUGAAGAACGAUGACAAGUGA
rnacentral:rRNA from 1 species